GGAAGGAUCAUUACUGAACCAACACCGUCCACCUUCUUGUAGUGGACCAUUCAACGGCCUGUCAUCGGAAUUUGAUGAUGAUCAACUCGGCUCGUUGCCCAACAUUGGGCGAUGGGUGAUUCUUGAUUUUGAUGCUCAUUUACCAGGUUGGAUUGAAACGCUCAUCACUUAGUGCCUACAUGCGGCAGACCUGUGUUGGAUGGGUGCCUUUUUCAAGAGGUUGAAGUUGGUCAGAUGUCGUGGUGGCAGGCCUUUGGUCUCCUAUGAAUUUCUUUUCCACCACACAGAACUGUCAUCGUACGGUGUUGCCGCUAAACAAAUAAUAUAACUUUCAACAACGGAUCUCUUGGCUCUCGCAUCGAUGAAGAACGCAGCGAAAUGCGAUAAGUAAUGUGAAUUGCAGAAUUCAGUGAAUCAUCGAAUCUUUGAACGCACCUUGCGCUCCUUGGCAUUCCGAGGAGCAUGCCUGUUUGAGCGUCGUUGAAUUCUCAGAAUCCUACCCGAUCUGGAUCUGGAUCUGGAUGUGGAUUGUGGAGGAUGCAAGGCUGCCUUUGCUUUGCUUUGCUUCUCUGAAAUGGAUUGGCAUUACGGCGUUGAAUUCUCAGACUGGAGGAUGCCUUGCUGCUCCCCAAUAUGGGGGGUGGUCGGGGGUUCCCCUUUGCUUCUCCUCAACGCACUGCCGCAGCGGCUGCGGUCACGAACCUGUUGUCGGUAAUGAUACACACGUCUUACCUGCAUCUAACGCGUGCCCGGCCAUACGAGACAAAGUCUCUAACUCUAACGAUUUGACCUCAAAUCAGGCAGGACUACCCGCUGAACUUAAGCAUAUCAAUAAGCGGAGGAAAAGAAACUAACAAGGAUUCCCCUAGUAACUGCGAGUGAAGCGGGAAGAGCUCAAAUUUAAAAUCUGGCGGCCUGUGGCCGUCCGAGUUGUAAGCUAGAGAAGCGCCGUCCGUGCUGGGGCCGUGUGCAAGUCUCCUGGAACGGAGCGUCGUGGAGGGUGAGAACCCCGUCUGUGACACGGACCUCCCAGGGCAUCGCGAUCGCGCCCUCAAAGAGUCGAGUUGUUUGGGAAUGCAGCUCCAAAUGGGUGGUAAACUCCAUCUAAAGCUAAACACUGGCGAGAGACCGAUAGCGAACAAGUACCGUGAGGGAAAGAUGAAAAGAACUUUGGAAAGAGAGUUAAACAGUACGUGAAAUUGUUGAAAGGGAAACGCUUGAAGUCAGUCGCGUCGGCCAGGGAUCAGCCCCGCAACCGCGAGGUGCACUCCCCGGUCGACGGGUCAGCACCAGUCUCGACCGCUGGAGAAAGGUCGGGGGAAUGUGGCAUCCUCGGAUGUGCUUAUAGCCCCCGAUCACAUGCAACGGUCGGGAUUGAGGAACUCGGCGCGCCGCAAGGCCGGGUCUCAGACCACGUCCGCGCCCAGGAUGCUGGCACAAUGGCUUUAAUCGACCCGUCUUGAAACACGGACCAAGGAGUCUAACAUGCCUGCGAGUGUUUGGGUGGAAAACCCAUGCGCGCAAUGAAAGUGAAAGUUGAGAUCCCCGUCGUGGGGAGCAUCGACGCCCGGACCAGACCUGCUGCGACGGAUCCGCGGUGGAGCAUGCAUGUUGGGACCCGAAAGAUGGUGAACUAUGCCUGAAUAGGGCGAAGCCAGAGGAAACUCUGGUGGAGGCUCGUAGCGAUUCUGACGUGCAAAUCGAUCGUCGAAUUUGGGUAUAGGGGCGAAAGACUAAUCGAACCAUCUAGUAGCUGGUUCCUGC
rnacentral:misc_RNA from 1 species